rnacentral:rRNA from 1 species
GUCUACAGCCAUACCACCCUAAAAAUGCCCAGUCUUGUCUGGUCUCAGAAGCUAAGCAGGGUUGGUCCUGAUUAGUACUUGGAUGGGAGGCAAAUUUUCAAGAGACUGCUCAGAGACAAGCAGUUUGGAGACA